GAGAGGUAGAUGGAAUUUCUGGUGUAGGGGUAAAAUCCGUAGAGAUCAGAAGGAAUACCGAUUGCGAAGGCGAUCUACUGGAACAUUAUUNGACGCUGAGACGCGAAAGCGUGGGGAGCAAACAGGAUUAGAUACCCUGGUAGUCCACGCCCUAAACGAUGUACACUAGUUGUUGUGAGGCUAGACCUUGCAGUAAUGCAGUUAACACAUUAAGUGUACCGCCUGGGGAGUACGGUCGCAAGAUUAAAACUCAAAGGAAUAGACGGGGACCCGCACAAGCGGUGGAGCAUGUGGUUUAAUUCGACGAUACGCGAAGAACCUUACCUGGACUUGACAUAGAAAGAAUAACGCAGAGAUGUGAUAGUGCUUGCUUGCAAGAACUUUCAUACAGGUGCUGCACGGCUGUCGUCAGCUCGUGUCGUGAGAUGUUGGGUUAAGUCCCGCAACGAGCGCAACCCUCGUCGUUAGUUGCUAACAGUUCGGCUGAGAACUCUAACGAGACUGCCUGGGUAACCAGGAGGAAGGUGAGGACGACGUCAAGUCAUCAUGGCCCUUACGUCCAGGGCUACACACGUGCUACAAUGGGGCAUACAAAGAGCCGCGAUACCGUGAGGUGGAGCAAAUCUCAAAAAUGCCUCCCAGUUCGGAUAGUAGUCUGCAACUCGACUACUUGAAGUUGGAAUCGCUAGUAAUCGUAGAUCAGCAAUGCUACGGUGAAUACGUUCCCGGGUCUUGUACUCACCGCCCGUCACACCAUGGGAGUUGAACUCAUUCGAAGCGGGGAUGCUAAAGUAGCUACCCUCCACAGUGGAUUCAGCGACCUGUGGUGAAGUCGUAANCAAGGUAA
rnacentral:rRNA from 1 species